rnacentral:rRNA from 1 species
CCUACGGGCGGCAGCAGUGAGGAAUAUUGGUCAAUGGACGAGAGUCUGAACCAGCCAAGUAGCGUGAAGGAUGACUGCCCUAUGGGUUGUAAACUUCUUUUAUAUGGGAAUAAAAUGUUCCACGUGUGGGCUUUUGUAUGUACCAUAUGAAUAAGGAUCGGCUAACUCCGUGCCAGCAGCCGCGGUAAUACGGAGGAUGCGAGCGUUAUCCGGAUUUAUUGGGUUUAAAGGGUGCGUAGGCGGAUUUUUCAGUCAGCGGUAAAAUGUCCGGGCUCAACCCGGGCCGGCCGUUGACACUGGGGAUCUGGAGUGGGCGAGAAGUAUGCGGAAUGCGUGGUGUAGCGGUGAAAUGCAUAGAUAUCACGCAGAACUCCGAUGGCGAAGGCAGCAUACCGGCGCCCGACUGACGCGGAGGCACGAAAGCGUGGGGAUCGAACAGGAUUAGAUACCCGGGUAGUC